UAGCACUCCAAACAUCCCUGGAUACACUGGCAGGGUUCAUUGGAUAGCUAUCCACCCAGCAAAUUCUAAUCUUCCAUCUCCCCCUUCAUCUGCAGACACAAAAAUGAAUGACUAUGUCUCGCAAUCUUAAAGUCCGAUGGUUCCCAGUUUAGCCAAGAGAAUUUGAAUGUGUGAGUUCCAUGCAAAGCUAUAGAAGUGUCGACGCCGAGAAGGAAGAAGACCUCUUAUCAUGUAACCUGUAAAGAGAUGCGAGAGAAGGCGGGACUGGGCAGCAGUAUUCAGCAGCAGGAACAGAAUGUGACAAGUUCCU